rnacentral:lncRNA from 1 species
UAACAGCGAUAACAAGACAGGCAUCAAAAUUACAAUUAAAUUGGACUCAUUCAACUUCCACGAUCUCAUCCAAAGCAUAGUUGUUUGUUGAUACAUUGGCAUAGUUCACUUUGUUGAAUCGAACCACAACAGGGUAGCGAGUCUUGGGGUCCUGCACAACAAGCACACACCAAUCAAAUAUGAAUUGGGUUUGCAUAAUGCAUGAAAUGCUACAAAUUUGAUAGGGAAUCACUCUCUUAUAGAGACUUUAGUAGCACAAACCUGAUCAACAGCAACAACUGAUCCAGUUCCUUUGUACCAAUACGAUUCCUUCCUAAGAAUCUUCACCUGUUGAUUGCAAACAAAAAUUAUAAAUUAACCCUCUUGCUUCACAACUUGGUCAACACAAAUUUCAACUUUAAAACUAUUUGAUUAAUGACACAGUCUCCAAUGAAUACAACUACCAAGAUUCAUUCACUGUCCUUGUUCCCAACAGAAAAUUUACUGAAAGUUAUAGAAUUGUGAAGAUCUCAUUUCUUAUGCUCAAGAAUAGGGUGCUACCAUGUUCCUCCAGAAUUACCCUUCUCAUCAUAUAUAUUUGUAACAAGAACAUCUAUACACUUAGGGUCAGAGAUGCAAUACAUAAGCUUACAAUUGAACCAGAUUACACAGACCAGUUUAUAGUUUGCUAGCAAGAAAGAAAAUGGAAAUAGGAUGUCGACAAGUUUAUAGAUAUUGGUGAAAAUAAGAAACAUUCUCUGGAACCAAUUCAAUAACUUUACCAGGCUCAGCACAACAUGAGCAAUAACAUAACUAUAAAAAAGUUGAAUUGUGGGGGUAACUGACCUUAGCACCUCUCUUGGGGCCAAUAGGUGGUGGCUUUGGCUUUGCUUCAGCUUCAGGUGGCGGAGUGGCGGUGGCAGGUGCGGGUGCAGCCUCAUCUGAAGCCCUCACAACAAGCCUAGAAGAACCAUUGUUCUUUGAGGGGAACAUGACCCUUGAAGGGGAUGAUGAGUUUGUGGU